rnacentral:miRNA from 1 species
AUUUCACCGGUUCUGAGAGCA